UACGUAGGGUGCAAGCGUUAAUCGGAAUUACUGGGCGUAAAGCGUGCGCAGGCGGCUUUGCAAGACAGAUGUGAAAUCCCCGGGCUUAACCUGGGAACUGCGUUUGAAACUACAAGGCUAGAGUGUGACAGAGGGGGGUGGAAUUCCACGUGUAGCAGUGAAAUGCGUAGAGAUGUGGAGGAACACCGAUGGCGAAGGCAGCCCCCUGGGUUAACACUGACGCUCAGGCACGAAAGCGUGGGGAGCAAACAGG
rnacentral:rRNA from 1 species